UACAGAGGUCUCAAGCGUUGUUCGGAUUCAUUGGGCGUAAAGGGCGCGUAGGUGGCGCGUUAAGUCAGGUGUGAAAUUUCGGAGCUUAACUCCGAAACUGCAUUUGAUACUGGCGUGCUUGAGGACUGGAGAGGAGACUGGAAUUCAUGGUGUAGCAGUGAAAUGCGUAGAGAUCAUGAGGAAGACCAGUGGCGAAGGCGGGUCUCUGGGCAGUAACUGACGCUGAGGAGCGAAAGCGUGGGGAGCGAACAGG
rnacentral:rRNA from 1 species